CAGGGCAGCUGCGGUAGCUGGGCCGCGGAGUUUCCAGGAAACUUCGGAUCCGCUGCAGAGCGCAGCUGCUGGGCGAUGUGCAGGAGACAGUAUGAAGAGAGGAGCAGAUUAAACAACUCGUGAAAAAUGAAACGGUUCUCUCUGCCCUCAUUCACUGCCAAAACCUGUUCUCACAAAGGGUUUCAGGACAAGGGAUGUAGGAGGCUUCAGAGGCAGGGCAGUAUCACCUGGUGACAUCGAAAUUUGCCGGYCAUAAGAAUGUACGCAAGAAUUCUUGUGUGUGGUGUU
ensembl:lncRNA